UACGUAGGGGGCUAGCGUUGUCCGGAAUCAUUGGGCGUAAAGAGCGUGUAGGCGGCCCGGUAAGUCCGCUCUGAAAGCCCGGGGCUCAACCCCGGGAGGCGGGCGGAUACUGUCGGGCUAGAGUCCGGAAGAGGCGAGUGGAAUUCCUGGUGUAGCGGUGAAAUGCGCAGAUAUCAGGAGGAACACCAAUAGCGAAGGCAGCUCGCUGGGACGGUACUGACGCUGAGACGCGAAAGCGUGGGGAGCAAACAGG
rnacentral:rRNA from 1 species